rnacentral:lncRNA from 1 species
AAGACUUGGAGCAGCUGAUGAAUACCCUUGGGAAGAGUGCUGAUGAAACCACUAAUGUCGUCCAUCUACUUCUCUGCAGCCUUCUGAAGGAUUCUUGCCAUCAACCAGGCCAUUGGGCAGUGAAUUUUGAUAGUUACCUGUCCAGCAAAGAGUAUAGAAACAACUGGGAGAACAAUGUUACGCACACAAUUAUUCUUCCUGUGCUAAAGGUUCUGGAUCAAACGCUCCUUGAGGUGAAUCGACAAAUUAGUGAGGAUGAACG